rnacentral:SRP_RNA from 1 species
GCCGGGCGCGGUGGCGGGUUCCUGUAGUCCCAGCUACUCGGGAGGCUGAGGUGGGAGGAUCGCUUGAGUCCAGGAGUUCUGGGCUGUAGUGGGCUAUGCCCACUACUUAGUGGGUGUCCACACUAAGUUUGGCAUCAAUAUUGUGACCUCCCGGGAGCGGGGGACCACCAGGUUGCCUAAGGAGGGGUGAACCGGCCCAGGUUGGAAACGGAGCAGGUCAAAACUCCCGUGCUGAUCAGUAGUGGGACUGCACCUGUGAAUAGCCACUGCACUCCAGCCUGGGCAACAUAGCAAGACCCCAUCUCU